UACGAAGGGGGCUAGCGUUGCUCGGAAUUACUGGGCGUAAAGCGCACGUAGGCGGCUUUCUAAGUCGGGGGUGAAAUCCUGGAGCUCAACUCCAGAACUGCCUUCGAUACUGGACAUCUUGAGUACGGGAGAGGUGAGUGGAACUCCGAGUGUAGAGGUGAAAUUCGUAGAUAUUCGGAAGAACACCAGUGGCGCAGGCAGCGUCCUGGCCGCUUGCUGACACUGAGGCACGAAAGCUGGGGGAGCAAACAGGAUUAG
rnacentral:rRNA from 1 species